rnacentral:rRNA from 1 species
CCUACGGGGGGCAGCAGUGGGGAAUAUUGGGCAAUGGGCGCAAGCCUGACCCAGCAACGCCGCGUGAAGGAAGACGGCUUUCGGGUUGUAAACUUCUUUUAAGAGGGAAGAGCAGAAGACGGUACCUCUUGAAUACGCCACGGCUAACUACGUGCCAGCAGCCGCGGUAAUACGUAGGUGGAAAGCGUUGUCCGGAUUUACUGGGUGUAAAGGGCGUGUAGCCGGGCUGACAAGUCAGCUGUGAAAUUCAGGGGCGCAACCCCGGACCUGCAUUUGAAACUGUUGGUCUUGAGUAUCGGAGAGGCAGGCGGAAUUCCUAGUGGAGCGGUGAAAUGCGUAGAUAUUAGGAGGAACACCAGUGGCGAAGGCGGCCUGCUGGACGACAACUGACGGUGAGGCGCGAAAGCGGGGGGAGCAAACAGGAUUAGAUACCCCGGGUAGUC